rnacentral:snoRNA from 1 species
GAUGAAAAAUCUCCGGAAUCUCUGUAUUUUCUUGAUGAAUAACUAGAACCCUUUAAUCUGAUGACUGCUUACUUCAG